GUUGAUGUUCAACGAACAAGUGAAUUUCAAACAUUAGUUGAGGACAGAAUUAAGGGUUCAUAACUACUACGUCUUCAAUUCUCACAGUCGUCAUUCAACAAUUGUCACUUGAACACGUCCAAGAAGCUAAAAGUGCUGAGCUCAAUAUAAGGUUCGUUGCUGAUGACUCUGAAGAGAGACGAAGAAUUGAAGGCUUUUUGAGGGAACUUUUGAGAAAGCAGUUUGAAGUAUUCUACAACUCAUUGAGACAAGUAUGUACUACUGUGCAACAACGUCCUGAGGCAAUAGACGAAAUGGCAGAACAGUUACGUGGUUCGUUGGGAGCUUUUAUUAAAAAAAUGCUGAAUUUAGUAAUGCUCAUUAGGAAGUACGUCCAAAUUUUGAACACUAAUUAUGACCAUUUGGAAAUUGUGGAGAAUCUUUAAUCAUGGUCAGCAAUUUGAUUCACUUUUUGAAAUUUUUCUUAAAUUAUUAGUUAAAAUAUUUUAGGCUGUCAUAAUUAUCGUUAAGAUGUUAUUUAAAUAAAUUUCUGUGUAAAACCAUACAAUAAUAAAACUAUUGUAUUAGAAAAA